rnacentral:rRNA from 1 species
AACGAACGCUGGCGGCAGGCCUAACACAUGCAAGUCGAGCGAGACCUUCGGGUCUAGCGGCGGACGGGUGAGUAACGCGUGGGAACGUGCCCUUUUCUACGGAAUACCCUCGGGAAACUGAGCGUAAUACCGGAUACGCCCUUUGGGGGAAAGAUAUGUCGUAGAAGGAUCGGCCCGCGUUGGAUUCGGUAGUUGGUGGGGUAAUGGCCUACCAAGCCUACGAUCCAUAGCUGGUUUGAGAGGAAGAUCAGCCACACUGGGACUGAGACACGGCCCAGACUCCUACGCGAGGCAGGAGUGGGGAAUCUUAGACAAUCGGGGCAACGCUGAACUACCCAUGCCGCGUGAGUGAUGAAGGCCUGAGGGUUGUAAAGCUCUUUCAGCUGGGAAGAUAAUGACGGUACCAGCAGAAGAAGCCCCGGCUAACUCCGUG